ACAAAUAAUUAGUGUGGUUCCUCCCUGCCCACUUCCCUUCACACUCGUUCAGCCUGAAUUUCACGAGUCUUCUGCGCCACCCUUCCUCAGGGCUCGUCUUGCUCCAGAGAUUUAUAUCAACAACGAGAAGAGUGGAGCCUUUGGGAAGGGGAAAAGCUGGAGAGCACUGAUUACCAUGGAGGGACAAGCUGGACCCGUCGGAGCCUGAGACCCAGCUCCCCCUCUGCUGCUGGCUGCUGUGAGACCUUAUAUAAAGGAUGGACUCAGCAUCUUGUAGGACUUGCUUGCGCUUUCUUGUGUGAAGGCUGAGACCGUUUGGGACGACACCCUAUACUCACCUUCUCAGGUAAAGCGAUACAGCUUUCCAAGAACUGGUUUUUCUUCUUCCCAUAACUAGACUGUCCUGGUCCAACACUGCCGAGGGAGUGAAAAUCUGACUCAUCUUUCUUUACAGUUGUAGUUGCAAGGCUCUAACAAAAAACAGAUGGGGAAAACAUGCCCAAAUAUUUAACAAAUUGAGCUGCUCUUCCCUGAGAUCCUUCCCUCCUUCCCCAGCAACAGCAUGCCUUGCUGUGAAUUGCACUGUCUUCACAGGAGCGGUGCCAGAUAACCAGUGGUGUGGCUGAGUCAAUCUCUAACUGCUGAAGCUGUGUUAUGUCUUUGUUAUUGUAUCCGGAGCUAAUGAGGCCUACCAGUUCCAGUUCUAAACUCUGUCUUUCAUGAUAAAUGUUAUUUACUGCUCUGUCAAGGGUCCUCCUACUACUUAAGUCAUCCGUCUGAAAAGCUUGGGGAAGAUGUGUGAGUUGAAACCAACCCGUAGUUCUUGUGUCCUGAUUGAGUGAUUUUGUGACCUUAAGAAAAGGGAUAUUCAUAACAUCUUUUCCCUCAGUAUUCCUUUAAAGAUCGAGGUUUGCAUUUUUGAAGAUAUUGGUUUGCUUUUCUCUAAAACUUGUGGCUCCUGAUUCAGUACUGUACUUGUAAAAUUGUUUAAAUAUACCAAGGAAAUAUUAAGUGUUGCUGUUAUGUGGAUGAGAAGAUCUUUUCGGUGGUCAGCAAGCAGUUUUAAUGAAUCAGUUCUCUUAACCUGCUUGCAUAUGGUAUUUGCAAUUCAAGAAAAAGGGAGAUAAUAGCUAGAGGUUUGGCUUUUCACUAAAAUGUAGUUGGGUAUAUUUGAUUUUGUGGUUAUGUGUGUGGCCAUGACAGAUAAUUCUCAGAAUUUUUACAAACAAAGCUGUGCAUUGUUUAUAGGAGCUAAG
rnacentral:lncRNA from 1 species